UUCAGAUUCCGGCAUUCUCACAAAACAACGGCUCCUAGCCGUCUUAAAUCGGUUCAUAUAUUCUUCAACCGAUUCACCCAUCCUCUGUUUAAACUGAGCCAAAUCAGCAACCGAUAAUUCCGAUUCUGUUCUAUAAAAUUGUUCAUGGAAUUUUUCUUCUAAUUCGUUCCAGUCUCGGACGGAAUUAGCCGGUAAACUCGUAUACCAAGUAAAAGCCGUCUUGGUUAACGAGAUGUUAAAUAAGUAUA
rnacentral:lncRNA from 1 species